rnacentral:rRNA from 1 species
CAGUCGCGUUCUCUGGGAUUCAGCCUUGCUUCUUGCUUGGUGCAUUUCCUAGUCUACGGGCCAGCAUGAAUCUUGAGCGGUGGAAAAGGGUUUGGGGAAUGUGGCACCUCCGGGUGUGUUAUAGACUCUGGUAGAUGUGACGGUUGGGAUUGAGGAUUGCAACGGAUACCCUUCGGGGCUACCCGUCUGAUCUCUGAAGGUUGCUCCGGGUACCGAAAGCGUGCUUACGGUCAUCGAAAGUG